UCUCUCGCCCUCACAGAUUGUAGCUUUCUCUCUUCACGGCACAGCCACUGGCCCGGAUCUCUGGUUCCAAGGAUGCUGGCCUUUUUCUCAUCGGAAAAUCCCUGCUGGUACAGUCACCAAAUUUCAAAAAUUUUCUCUCUUCCACCAAACCUUGCUGUACAUGGGACACCAGCGUCGAUUCUCCAUGACCAUGGCUACAACUGGAAGCCUCCAAGGCUCACACGACCACCACUGGCAGUGCUUGCUGGCCUGACCUUCUCCUCUCUUUAGGUCUCUGUUUUUUCGCUCUCUCAAGUCCAACCGUGGCCAAGCUUCUGCUUGCACCGCGACACCACCAUUUCUGAUACCGUUCAUUGGAUCUCAUUCCAUACUUGUGAGGGCAGUUGUUGUGAAUGCUGAUCUGGAUGAUUUGGAAGCAUGAACGUCCAUUGGUUUAAAGCUACAUGUAUCUCUAUAGGAUCUAGCCGACAAUUGUUUUUUGCUUGGUGAGGUGUGCAUGCAAAAGAAGACUCCUCAAAACAAUUUGGAAACCAACUUUGACAUAUCAACUCUUGAAUAAGUGGAGUGUUAUGGCAAAUUUAAUUUGUAUAAGAGACUUUCUCUCUUGGGGUUGCAGACUGCAGUUAAUAAAAUUAGAGAAGUGCUGUGGUUUGAUUCUUGUUAACAAGAAAAAAAUUUAGCCUUUGCUGGCCAUCUUGUAUUUAUCACCCAUAUACAGCUUUGUCAACAAUUAAUGAGGACAUCUUGUAUUUAUCACCAUAUAUCUUGAGUAAAGGG